rnacentral:ncRNA from 1 species
GGUCAAGUGAAGAAGCGCAUACGGUGGAUGCCUUGGCAGUCAGAGGCGAUGAAAGACGUGGUAGCCUGCGAUAAGCUUUGGGGAGUCGGCAAACAGACUGUGAUCCAGAGAUCUCUGAAUGGGGGAACCCACUCAGCAUAAGCUGAGUAUCUUGUACUGAAUACAUAGGUGCAAGAGGCGAACCAGGGGAACUGAAACAUCUAAGUACCCUGAGGAAAAGAAAUCAACCGAGAU